rnacentral:rRNA from 1 species
UAGAGUUUGAUCCUGGCUCAGGACGAACGCUGGCGGCGUGCCUAAUACAUGCAAGUAGAACGCUGAAGAGAGGAGCUUGCUCUUCUUGGAUGAGUUGCGAACGGGUGAGUAACGCGUAGGUAACCUGCCUUGUAGCGGGGGAUAACUAUUGGAAACGAUAGCUAAUACCGCAUAACAAUGGAUGACACAUGUCAUUUAUUUGAAAGGGGCAAUUGCUCCACUACAAGAUGGACCUGCGUUGUAUUAGCUAGUAGGUGAGGUAAUGGCUCACCUAGGCGACGAUACAUAGCCGACCUGAGAGGGUGAUCGGCCACACUGGGACUGAGACACGGCCCAGACUCCUACGGGAGGCAGCAGUAGGGAAUCUUCGGCAAUGGGGGCAACCCUGACCGAGCAACGCCGCGUGAGUGAAGAAGGUUUUCGGAUCGUAAAGCUCUGUUGUAAGUCAAGAACGGGUGUGAGAGUGGAAAGUUCACACUGUGACGGUAGCUUACCAGAAAGGGACGGCUAACUACGUGCCAGCAGCCGCGGUAAUACGUAGGUCCCGAGCGUUGUCCGGAUUUAUUGGGCGUAAAGCGAGCGCAGGCGGUUUGAUAAGUCUGAAGUUAAAGGCUGUGGCUCAACCAUAGUUCGCUUUGGAAACUGUCAAACUUGAGUGCAGAAGGGGAGAGUGGAAUUCCAUGUGUAGCGGUGAAAUGCGUAGAUAUAUGGAGGAACACCCGGUGGCGAAAGCGGCUCUCUGGUCUGUAANCUGACCGCUGAGGCUCGAAAGCGUGGGGAGCGAACAGGAUUAGAUACCCUGGUAGUCCACGCCGUAAACGAUGAGUGCUAGGUGUUGGAUCCUUUCCGGGAUUCAGUGCCGCAGCUAACGCAUUAAGCACUCCGCCUGGGGAGUACGACCGCAAGGUUGAAACUCAAAGGAAUUGACGGGGGCCCNCACAAGCG